rnacentral:misc_RNA from 1 species
CACUUCGUCAUGGUAGCAGCGUCCUGACGAAGAGAGACACUCACCGACACAUAUAUACAGACAGGGGCACGAAAGCCUUCACGAACGAGGCUCUUCUGCCGCCGCUUGUACGCUCGAAUUUCCCCUCGCGCGUGCAAAAGCCUUCUGCGGUGGCUUCUGCCCCCCCCCUCCACACACACACACACACAUACCGACUCCUGUCAAGGGCUUUGAUAUAUUCGACGUGAAACUCACCCCGAGGCACGUGCUUCUCCACAGCAACGCCCAUACGCGUGCAUGCGCCAUAGCAGAAUCGAGCGGAACACGGCAACACAACACAAGAGCGGGGUUAGGAAUGAGACCAGGAGCCGCCGUGUAACCAAGAAGAAAGGCACAGGCACCUGUUGCCAUUCUAUCUUGUUUUUCAUUUUCCUUGAAAGAGGCUUGGCCGUGCGCACGCACGGACGGACCAUACGACGGCCAGCAUAACACCACUCUUGCCACUGUACCAGCGCUGGGUUGUGCUGCCGAGCUAUUCUUUCUCGGUCUUUGUCUUUUGUAGAGGUGUGCCUUCGGGUCGCCUUCAGGGCGCUUCUUCCUUUUGGCUUUCACGGACGCUGCCGAGGCGACUCACGCAGCUCCGCGGUUCACGUUUCUUUUUCGGUGUUGCUUGCUGCGUCGCCAUCGUGGUCUGUCUUUGCGGCUGCUCGCGUUCCUCGUCCUCCGGAUGUCUUUUUUCCCCUUUUCCGUCUCUUCUUAUGUGCACCGAUGACGGCGGACACGCCCAUGUGCGUGGUAUCCCAGACUGCAGUGCAGCCCCCCCUCCCCUCCCCCCACACCACCAGCUCUCUCCGCGUGGGGAGAAGCCGAGCGGCACCCCUCCCCUCUCCUCUAUCGGCCUGCCCAUGCCGAACCGCUUGUGGCGCUGACAGGGUCAGGGCGAUGUAUCGCUACCCCUGCCAGCGGCCAGGUGCUGGAUCGGCGUGGCAUCGCUGCGGCCUGCGACAGUGCACCGGUCUGACCCGUCCAUAUGAUGGGGGAAGUGCCAGCGCAAUGCGAAGAUGUCUCACCCGGGCCUCACUGCCGACUGGUGUGGGGAGCCGGAGCCCCCUCCCGAGGGGGCCGCACCAGGGGUGGCGGCCUGCAUGGUGGGAGGAGCUGCUGUGAGGCGGCCUGUGAGGCGGGGUGGGUGGGUGGCGUUUGAGGGCAGGGGCCGUGCUCUCAGAUGGCUGAGUCGGCACCUCGCUGCAAGGUGCGUGUGCCUAGGGCCGCCUCGCCACAAGCGCUGACUACAUGGCCCCGCCAACGGCGUAGGUGCGGCAGUGCACCGGGCGGUGCCUCGGCGCUCUUUGUGUGGAGCUGCAAGGGCCGCGUGGCGCAUCGGCGCACCUACCCGGGGGCGUUUUGUCGUGAGGACGCUCUGCGUGAGGGUGCCUCCAGCAGGCGCGACCACCAUCGACGUCGCUGCGUGCGGCAGCGACGCCAGCAACGACGACGAUGCUGCAAUUGUCAACCGUGGACGCGGCGCAUUGCCUGUGGAAGGACGUUCGCCGGGAUGGCGCAGGGGCGCUGGAUUUGGCCGGUGCUUCACCGGCUAGGCGCAGCACACCGUCGCAUUGUGGGCCUCACGGCGUUGUCUGCGCGCUGUAGGAGGUCGCUGUGCUGCGCCGCAGUCGGCGAGGGAGGAGUCGGUCGGCGUCGUCGUGGACGUCGGCGGCAGGGAGGACGCGCUGCGCGGCUUCAUCAAGGCACUUGGUGUGCCGGCUGUCGAGGCCUGCGGCAACCUGCUCGGCGUCAUGUCGGCAUCAUGCUGCACGGCCGCGUGCGGCGGACAUCCUGACGCGUGUGUUGAACGGUGGCUGACGCUGGCGUGCGGUCGCCGCAUAUGCCACAUCGUGGCGGUGCUGCCGCCGGAGUCGCUGACCGUGGCGAGCACGCUACUGCCACUGCUGGACCUGUCGAGGGACCCCCAUUGCAGCCGCUGUCGCCGGCGUGCGAGCACAUCCGUCGUUGCCUCGACGCUCUCGGGACAGAGGUGUGUCUGGAUACCGACGAGAUCAUUGCAUCCAAGAGCAGCGACGUGGAUGAGCUGCUUGCCGCCUCUGAUGAGCGCCGUGUGUCACCGACGGUGUACAUGAACCGUAAGCGUGUCAGGGCGAUUCGCCAGCUGCAGACGGCAUGGGGCGAGGAAGGAUAGCUCAAGACACCUGUGAAGCUUGUCGCGCCGUUGACGCAUGAUGAAUGCCAGCUCGAUGACCACCAUCACAGGAGCCUCGCCCAUACACCACCGAGCGAUGGGAUUUUCUGCAAUUCUGCGCGGGGCGUUGGUUGCAUGGACAACGUGCAGCACACCUCCGCCUCCGGCUUGCGUUGGGACGGGCCGACAUAGCGCGAACGCGAGGGCGGAGGCAGACACCUGUGCAUGUGCCCUCUCUCGAGAGAGAAACGCCUACCGGCACGCGACUCUCUGUUCAUUUCCAUGGACUUCGUGCUCUGUUGACUGUUGCUGACGUGCCACUGAAGGGGGUAGGGGAAGCAUAAAAAAUGUGAUGUAAGCCUCGUUAGCGCCUCUCGGAACAUCAGGGUGAAUCAGGCUAUCCGCGUCGACUGCAGGCAGCGAGCUGGCGGACGUCUGGGAGGUAUAGCCGCUGUGCUGGAAGCUAUGGGCGUGAUCCAGGCCGAGCGCAGCAUCAGCAGUGGUGUUUCACCUGCCAUUCACCGUACAUGUGACGCGUGACGUUGACAUCCUUUCUUGUGUGUGUGUGUGUGCUUCCUCGCUACCCCCUUGGCCUUCCCGCCGUCCCGCCGUCUCCACUUCUCUUGUCGGGCGCCGAUGUUUUCGCGCUGUUUUUCCUAACGGUGUUUCCUCCUCUCCUGCCCUGCCCUGUCGCCUCUAUCCUUUGAAAACGUAUGUGGGGCUUAUGCGAGCGUGCACCCGCCUACCCCCUCCUCCUCACAG